rnacentral:rRNA from 1 species
UACGAAGGGGGCUAGCGUUGCUCGGAAUUACUGGGCGUAAAGGGCGCGUAGGCGGCACUGUUAGUCAGGCGUGAAAUUCCUGGGCUCAACCUGGGGACUGCGCUUGAUACGGCAGAGCUAGAGGAUGGAAGAGGCUCGCGGAAUUCCCAGUGUAGAGGUGAAAUACGUAGAGAUUGGGAAGAACACCAGUGGCGAAGGCGGCUAUCUGGACGGUUUCUGACACUAAGACUCGAAAGCGUGGGGAGCAAACAGG